UACGUAGGGCGCAAGCGUUAUCCGGAAUUAUUGGGCGUAAAGAGCUCGUAGGCGGUUUGUCGCGUCUGCCGUGAAAGUCCGGGGCUCAACUCCGGAUCUGCGGUGGGUACGGGCAGACUAGAGUGUUGCAGGGGAGACUGGAAUUCCUGGUGUAGCGGUGGAAUGCGCAGAUAUCAGGAGGAACACCAAUGGCGAAGGCAAGUCUCUGGGCCAUUACUGACACUGAGAAGCGAAAGCAUGGGGAGCGAACAGG
rnacentral:rRNA from 1 species